rnacentral:ncRNA from 1 species
AGCCAGAGUAGAAGCGUUCAACUUCGCGCCAUGCGAAGCGGGAAAUUGCUCUUGAG